GAAAAUGAUCAAAGCCUUGACCUUGUUGGCUGCAGUGACCACGGCUUCUGCCCUUUCUUCUUACUAUUUAAGAACCACCUCAUGUCAGAGAGCUGAGGAUGUAGCUUUAUGUGAGGCUGAUAUCAGAGUCUGCGAGGACCUGUUCACAGGCGACCAGGACGAGCAGGAUAGGAUCGGCAUCAACAAGAAAUGCCUCGACGAAAAUGGCUUCAGCCAAUUACAUGAUGUGGACCCCGAAACCCUCUUCAGACCAGCUGGCCUGCAGGUUCUCACACUGAUUGGUUCCGAGGAGAAACACGAGGCUUUAAAGCAGUGCGUCCUUCGGGAAAGGGGAGUGCUGAAGCCUGAUGGAACAGUCAACCCACAGCCAUUCUUGGACAGGCUAACUCUCGCCCUUAACGACACCCGCCCUGACAUCCUAGCGCGUCUCCUUUCCACUGCAGAGUCCUGCUCGGUCGAAAACAUUUCCCAGAUUGAUGACUGGAAGACGUGCCUGUUCUCGGGAUGCGUUACAAGACUUGUGUCAACAACUGUCACUCCUGAACAUGACUGAGAUGUCAAUUGUCUUUGUUGUUGAUGAAGUAAGGAAGCACAGUUUUCCGGUUCACGUUUUCUAUACGGACCAUUGCAUGUUAUGGGAGGAUUUUUUUUUUUUUCUUUUCGUUUUCUAAAUCAACUCAUUUCAUUACAAUGUGUAAAUUUGUUAUAGAGAUUUGUUAUUAAUGGGGAUCAGAAAAUGGAACUGCCUAUCUCUCGCCCAGUCAUAAAAUGAUGUUGCUAAUAUCUAUGUUAUUAUAUGAAUCACUUUCUCCUUUCUGAAGUACUCUACGAACGUAUGAAAUA